UACGAAGGGGGCUAGCGUUGCUCGGAAUUACUGGGCGUAAAGGGCGCGUAGGCGGAUGUUUAAGUCGGGGUGAAAGCCCGGGGCUCAACCUCGGAAUUGCCUUCGAUACUGGACAUCUUGAGUUCGGGAGAGGUGAGUGGAAUGCCGAGUGUAGAGGUGAAAUUCGUAGAUAUUCGGCGGAACACCAGUGGCGAAGGCGACUCACUGGCCCGAUACUGACGCUGAGGCGCGAAAGCGUGGGAGCAACAGG
rnacentral:rRNA from 1 species